GACAAACAGAAUAGUUGGAACAUUGUAAGUAUAUCUACGUUGCCAGGAGGGAGACAAAUAAAGAGUCAAUGCUAAUAAUACCUUUUUUUUGCAUUCAUGACUAUUUUCAUUGUCUUUCAUAUGCAGUGGCUAUAUGUCACCAGAAUAUGUGAUGUUUGGAAAAUUUUCAACAAAAUCUGAUGUCUUUAGUUUCGGAGUCAUAUUAUUGGAGAUCAUUACAGGGAAGAAGAACAAUAGCUAUUUUCAAGAGGAUUCUUAUAUGAGCAUGACAGGCCAUGUAAGUUAAAGAUGUAUAUAGGUAAAAUUAUUCUAAUAAUCAUUGAAUUUUACACUUACUUUCAUUAUGAUCAUAGAACUUCAAUUUGCCAUAAUUUGGUCUCUGAAUUUUAAUUUUAUUAGAGUUAGUUUACUUUAUUCCAAAGAGAAUUCCACAGGAAAAAUCUGAUGUGAUAUUCUAUUUAACGUUAAUUUCUGCAGGGAACAGAGAAAUUAAAAUUUUUUGUUAUUUGAUUUUUAGUCUACAUGUCAUGUUUAGCAUUAUAGAAUGCUAAGUUACACUUAAUGUUUUUUUCUGAAUAAAUAACUUAAUGUAUUCACCCAAUCAAUAAGAAGCUAGCCCAUCAUGAUAUUAGAGAGAAAUACUUAUCUAGACCCGGUUUAUUAUGGACCCAAGAUACAAACAUGUAGGAUCUAUAGUGGGUCCCACAAUACAUAUUGUGUCUUGGGUCCAUGGUGGACCAAGUCUAGGCAAGAAAAAUCCUAUAUUAGGUAGAACUUGUCAUGUUUUUGGAUAAGACACUAUGAUUUUAAAUAAUAUAUCAGCUGUAUAUUGGAUAGAUGCACACAACUAAAUGCGAACAUUCUCAUUGAAAUCUUGUUAGAAUCAGGUGGAAGUAACCUAAUUGUGACAAAAUUAAAGUUCAGUAAUCGAAUUAUGAUAAAUUGAAAUUUGGUGAUUACAGUGAAAAUUAAUAACAAAGUUUACUGAACAACUAACAUUAGAAUAACUUAUUAGUGAACAUGCUUUUAAUACGUUAUCUUCCAAACUUAUUAUACAACAAUGCUGAUAUACAGUUCAUCUUUUGUAUGAUAAUGUUAUGAAUUGCAUAGAUAUGGCAUUCAUGGAGAGAAAAUACACCAUUGGAGAUAGUUGAUUCAUCUCUAAGGGAGUCAUGUCCUCCUCAUGAAGUAUUGAGAUGCAUCCAGAUUGGGCUCUUAUGUGUGCAAGAAGAUAUCUUGGACAGACCAACAAUGUCAGCAGUUGUUUUAAUGUUGAAUAGUGAAACCACUCUUCCUCCUCCAGGACAGCCUGCAUUCAUUCUUAGAAAGUCUUAUAAUAGUUCUAGCUCAUUUGCAAAAAGAGAUGGAUUUUAUUCUGUGGAUGAGGAAACAAUUACCGAGGUUGUAUGUCGCUAAAUAUAUUUUUCCAUUAGUUAUACACAAAUUUUUAGUAUAAAAUUUGUAGACUAAUUUUUAUAACUCGUCCCUAAACUUUACUCUGUGAUUCACUUUCCUCUGACUUCAACUCAUUAUUAAAAAAUUCCUAAAC
rnacentral:misc_RNA from 1 species